GAUGGCGACCGGCGCACGGGUGAGUAACACGUAUCCAACCUGCCGAUGACUCGGGGAUAGCCUUUCGAAAGAAAGAUUAAUACCCGAUGGCAUAGUUCUUCCGCAUGGUAGAACUAUUAAGGAAUUUCGGUCAUCGAUGGGGAUGCGUUCCAUUAGGUUGUUGGCGGGGUAACGGCCCACCAAGCCUUCGAUGGAUAGGGGUUCUGAGAGGAAGGUCCCCCACAUUGGAACUGAGACACGGUCCAAACUCCUACGGGAGGCAGCAGUGAGGAAUAUUGGUCAAUGGACGAGAGUCUGAACCAGCCAAGUAGCGUGAAGGAUGACUGCCCUAUGGGUUGUAAACUUCUUUUAUACGGGAAUAAAGUGAGGCACGUGUGCCUUUUUGUAUGUACCGUAUGAAUAAGGAUCGGCUAACUCCGUGCCAGCAGCCGCGGUAAUACGGAGGAUCCGAGCGUUAUCCGGAUUUAUUGGGUUUAAAGGGAGCGUAGGCGGACGCUUAAGUCAGUUGUGAAAGUUUGCGGCUCAACCGUAAAAUUGCAGUUGAUACUGGGUGUCUUGAGUACAGUAGAGGCAGGCGGAAUUCGUGGUGUAGCGGUGAAAUGCUUAGAUAUCACGAAGAACUCCGAUUGCGAAGGCAGCUUGCUGGACUGUAACUGACGCUGAUGCUCGAAAGUGUGGGUAUCAAACAGGAUUAGAUACCCUGGUAGUCCACACAGUAAACGAUGAAUACUCGCUGUUUGCGAUAUACAGUAAGCGGCCAAGCGAAAGCGUUA
rnacentral:rRNA from 1 species